rnacentral:rRNA from 1 species
UGUCCAGACUCCUACGGGAGGCAGCAGUGGGGGAUAUUGCACAAUGGGGGAAACCCUGAUGCAGCGACACCGCGUGGGUGAGGAAGCGCUUCGGCGUGUAAAGCCCUAUCAGUGGGGAAGAAAAAGGACGGUACCCAAAGAAGAAGCACCGGCUAAAUACGUGCCAGCAGCCGCGGUAAUACGUAUGGUGCAAGCGUUAUCCGGAAUGACUGGGUGUAAAGGGAGCGUAGACGGCAGUGCAAGUCUGGAGUGAAAGGCGGGGGCUCAACCCCCGGACUGCUCUGGAAACUGUACGGCUGGAGUGCAGGAGAGGUAAGUGGAAUUCCUAGUGUAGCGGUGAAAUGCGUAGAUAUUAGGAGGAGCACCAGUGGCGAAGGCGGCUUACUGGACUGUAACUGACGUUGAGGCUCGAAAGCGUGGGGAGCAAACAGGAUUAGAUACCCUAGUAC